rnacentral:rRNA from 1 species
AUUGAACGCUGGCGGCAUGCUUUACACAUGCAAGUCGAACGGCAGCACGGGCUUCGGCCUGGUGGCGAGUGGCGAACGGGUGAGUAAUACAUCGGAACGUACCCAGUAGUGGGGGAUAGCCCGGCGAAAGCCGGAUUAAUACCGCAUAUGCCCUGAGGGGGAAAGCGGGGGACCGAAAGGCCUCGCGCUAUUGGAGCGGCCGAUGGCUGAUUAGCGAGUUGGUGGGGUAAAGGCCUACCAAGGCGACGAUCAGGAGCUGGUCUGAGAGGACGACCAGCCACACUGGGACUGAGACACGGCCCAGACUCCUACGGGAGGCAGCAGUGGGGAAUUUUGGACAAUGGGCGAAAGCCUGAUCCAGCAAUGCCGCGUGUGCGAAGAAGGCCUUCGGGUUGUAAAGCACUUUUGUUUGGAAAGAAAAGGUUUGGGUUAAUACCCUGGACUGAUGACGGUACCAAUCGAAUAAGCACCGGCUAACUACGUGCCAGCCGCCGCCGCCG